rnacentral:rRNA from 1 species
UACAGAGGUGGCGAGCGUUAAUCGGAAUUACUGGGCGUAAAGCGUGCGCAGACGGUUGCGUAAGUCAGAUGUGAAAGCCCGGGCUCAACCUGGGAAUUGCAUUGAGACUGCGUAGCUAGGGUGCGGAAGAGGGAAGCGGGAAUUUCCGGUGUAGCGGUGAAAUGCGUAGAUAUCGGAAGGAACACCAGUGGCGAAAGCGGC